rnacentral:lncRNA from 1 species
CAAGCCAGUUUGGUUCGACUCAAGUGAAAUGAGAGAGAAUAAAAGAAAAUGAUCGAACCAAACCAGUCAUGUCGAGCCAGUUUGAUUUUAUUUUUUAUAUAUAUUUUUUCUGCUCACUAGUUCACCAGCUUUUUUGCCCAUCCCCUAUGUUUUUACACAAGGACUAAAUUACCUAAUCAUAUAAAACACACCGAACGUUUUCAUAUUUAAC